rnacentral:rRNA from 1 species
CCCUUAGAUGUUCUGGGCCGCACGCGUGCUACACUGAGUGGAUCAGCGGGUCAGGUUGCGCGAAAGUGUUUCCUAAUCUUGAAAUCCGCUCGUGAUGGGGAUUGACGGUUGCAAUUUUCCGUCAUGAACGAGGAAUACCUUGUAAGCGCGGGUCAUCAUCCCGCGCUGAAUACGUCCCUGCCCUUUGUACACACCGCCCGUCGCUCCUACCGAUUGAGUGGUCCGGUGAGGCUUUGGGAUCUGAGCGGAAAGAGCGUUUCGCUGUUUCUGCUCGGAAAACUCAGUCGAACCUUAUCAUUCAGAGGAAGGAGAAGUCGUAACA